GAGUUUGAUCAUGGCUCAGAUUGAACGCUGGCGGCAGGCCUAACACAUGCAAGUCGAGCGGAUGACGGGAGCUUGCUCCUUGAUUCAGCGGCGGACGGGUGAGUAAUGCCUAGGAAUCUGCCUGGUAGUGGGGGACAACGUUUCGAAAGGAACGCUAAUACCGCAUACGUCCUACGGGAGAAAGCAGGGGACCUUCGGGCCUUGCGCUAUCAGAUGAGCCUAGGUCGGAUUAGCUAGUUGGUGGGGUAAUGGCUCACCAAGGCGACGAUCCGUAACUGGUCUGAGAGGAUGAUCAGUCACACUGGAACUGAGACACGGUCCAGACUCCUACGGGAGGCAGCAGUGGGGAAUAUUGGACAAUGGGCGAAAGCCUGAUCCAGCCAUGCCGCGUGUGUGAAGAAGGUCUUCGGAUUGUAAAGCACUUUAAGUUGGGAGAAGGGCAGUAAGUUAAUACCUUGCUGUUUUGACGUUUACCGACAGAAUAAGCAACCGGCUAAACUCUGUGCCAGCA
rnacentral:rRNA from 1 species